rnacentral:piRNA from 1 species
UACCAACAUGCAUUACCAACA